rnacentral:rRNA from 1 species
AGCCAUUAGCUGAUAUUUAUGGUUAAACCUGCCCAAUGUUAGAAAUAAUCAAUGGCCGCGGUACCCUGACCGUGCUAAGGUAGCGUAAUCAGUUGGCUUUUAAAUGGAGUCAGGAAUGAAUGGAAAAACCGGGUCUAGCUGUCUCCGAACUAUUUUUUUGAAUUUACUGUUUAAGUGAAAAAGCUUAAAGUUGAUAAAGGGACGAGAAGACCCUUAGAAUUUUUUUUAAAGUGGGAAAUUUUUACAAUAAUUUUGUUGGGGCGACAGAGAAAUAUUUAAAACUUUCUUUAAAUUACAAGCCGAUUUUGUUAAGUGAGGAUAAAUUACCUGAGGGAUAACAGCAUAAUUCUACAAUUGAGUUUGUGACCUCGAUGUUGGACUAGGAAACUAACAGGCUAGCCGUUUGUUGUGUGGGUUCUGUUCGAACUUUAAUUCCUA